rnacentral:rRNA from 1 species
AGCAGUCGCCACGGUAAUACGGAGGGUGCAAGCGUUAAUCGGAAUUACUGGGCGUAAAGCGCACGCAGGCGGUCUGACAAGUCAGAUGUGAAAUCCCCGGGCUUAACCUGGGAACUGCAUUUGAAACUGUCAGGCUGGAGUCUUGUAGAGGGGGGUGGAAUUCCAGGUGUAGCGGUGAAAUGCGUAGAGAUCUGGAGGAAUACCGGUGGCGAAGGCGGCCCCCUGGACAAAGACUGACGCUCAGGUGCGAAAGCGUGGGGAGCAAACAGGAUUAGAUACCCUGUAGUCCCUGUCUCUUAUACA